CUCGAUCCUCGUUUUCUCUCAUAUCAUAAAACUAUUGGCGAAGCCUGAGCAUCGAAUCUUAUUCUUCCCUCCUUCUUCUCCACCUCCUCCCCGGUCUCCUAGGGGGCACAUUGAUCUUGAAAAAGAUCUGUUGAGUUGAGCCCAUCCUUCAUUCGAUAGCAGAUACAACAAAGCGAAAGUCGAGAAGACAAAAAGACCCCUCA
ensembl:ncRNA F43E12.3 ncRNA